CACGUAGGGGGCAAGCGUUGUCCGGAUUUAUUGGGCGUAAAGAGCUCGUAGGCGGUUCGAUAAGUCGGGUGUGAAACCUCCAGGCUCAACCUGGAGACGCCACCCGAUACUGUCGUGACUAGAGUCCAGUAGGGGAGCGUGGAAUUCCUGGUGUAGCGGUGAAAUGCGCAGAUAUCAGGAGGAACACCAGCGGCGAAGGCGGCGCUCUGGGCUGGAACUGACGCUGAGGAGCGAAAGCGUGGGUAGCAAACAGG
rnacentral:rRNA from 1 species